rnacentral:rRNA from 1 species
UACGUAGGGUGCGAGCGUUGUCCGGAAUUAUUGGGCGUUAAGAGCUUGUAGGCGGUUUGUCGCGUCUGCCGUGAAAAUCCGGGGCUCAACCCCGGACUUGCGGUGGGUACGGGCAGACUAGAGUGUGGUAGGGGAGACUGGAAUUCCUGGUGUAGCGGUGAAAUGCGCAGAUAUCAGGAGGAACACCGAUGGCGAAGGCAGGUCUCUGGGCCACUACUGACGCUGAGAAGCGAAAGCGUGGGGAGCGAACAGG